rnacentral:rRNA from 1 species
AAUACGUAGGGCGCAAGCGUUGUCCGGAUUUAUUGGGCGUAAAGAGCUCGUAGGCGGCUUGCUGCGUCUGCCGAGAAAGGCCUGGGCUUAACCGGGGCUGGGCGGUGGAUACGGGCAGGCUGGAGGCUGGCAGGGGCAAGCGGAAUUCCUGGUGUAGCGGUGAAAUGCGCAGAUAUCAGGAGGAACACCGGUGGCGAAGGCGGCUUGCUGGGCCAGUGCUGACGCUGAGGAGCGAGAGCGCGGGGAGCAAACAGGA